GCUUGGCCCCAUUGUUACGGUGGGCUUACUCUAUCUAGAGUGUGGCCCAACUCUGGCGGAGUUGGAAAUUAUUGCACUAGCAAUUAGCCCAUUUUCGGCCCUCCUUCAAAAUUGGGCUUAAACCGGGCCAUACCCCUCUCUGGCUCCUCCAUCAUGUUGUGGUCUUCUUUCUCAAAAAUUAAAAAUAAGAAUAGGGUCUUUAGUUACCAUUAUGAUUCAACUCUAAAUGUGACUGCAAAAACACUUUGGCCCAAGAAAAGCUAAGGAUAAAGAAAAUAAAUACUUUUUUUUUCCCUUUUUUUAAAUUUUAAUUUAUCUUUUCUUUUCUUUUUCUUUUUCCAUAAUAAAUCCCUCCAAAAUCCGUAAACUAAAAAAGAACCUUAGAAAAAUUUCAUAAAUAAUAGUCAUUGUGACGUGACACCAAAUGUGAAUAUAAGUGAAUAAUUAUUUAGUACUUCUGGAAUAAUACUUAAUUAUUUCACAUGAAAAAUCAUGUAUAUUACUCUUCGGAGUAUUAAAUUAUUUUUCUCCUCAACUAAAGAAAAAAUGACUCAUCGUGGUGAGACUGUCGGAUAGAUUAGUUCACAUGUAACCAAGUACCCACCAGGUACAAAUAUAGCCUCAAACUAAACUCAUUGAUAACAAAUCACAAGUUUUCUACUAAUUGAACGAUUAGAAAAUAUUACUGGUAACUGAACAUUAGAAUUGUUCUCCCAUCAUGCCUUAUCAUGCCUUAAAAGUAUUGUGUCUCUAAUCUAAAUACGAAAAUACGAACAAAAUUUUCAUUUAACCAAUUAAUAUUCCUCAUCAUAAGUUGGCCUAUUAAAUCGGCAAAUUAAGGCUGGUUUAGAUUUUUCAUGUUCACACACAGCCAGUUGUGAAAUAUCCAACACUUUUUCAUCGCAUGGAGUUAUUGAUUGGAAGUUGCAUUCAUAAAUGGAGUGUUCAACUUUUACAAGUGUGGAAGACCUUUUGAAAAGUAAAUGGAGGAGUUAUGGUCACAACCAUGUGCACAUAAAAUGCACACCCCAUGAGAGAGAAAGACACAAUCAAAAUUCACCUUGGUGUGGGGCCCACCCCCUUGUGUGUGGGAACCCACUGAUUGGUCUUUCUCUCUCAUGGAUGUGCAUUUUAUGGACACAAUGGUUGUGCAAAUAGGCAUUCCCAUUAUUAAAUGGAGUGUUCAACUUUUACAAUUAUGGAAGACCUUGAAAAGUGUACCACACACACAAAAAAAGAAGUUAUCAAAAUGCCUAUCUUCCUCUCGUAUGGGCAUAUUAAUGGGAUUUUCUCUCUAUUUAUUACACUCUCUCUAUAUAUCUAUCUAUCUAUCUAUAAUCCACACGUGUAACUUGUUUACUCCUUCAAUCCAAUGUUUAAAUUCUAGUUAUUGUAAGUCAUAAAAAUUAAUUCGGUUCGCUAUUAAUGCGAAAUUUAAACUCGAAAUAGGAUCUGGAAAUUCAAUACAUCUCAACAAUAAUAUUCACUAACAAUAAUUAAUGGAGUAGAUCAUACAUACCUUUAUUAGCCAUCUGAGCAUUGAAUGAACCCCUUAAUUGAUUGCUUUAAUUUCUUCUUUUGGCUCACUUUUUUCUCCUCUGUCUCACUCUAAAGGAUACCAAUAUUCUUAAUAUUGAUGGAAAAAAUCAAACGUUCAAAGGGGGGUUAUCCUAUCUUUUAUAGAUUAAGAAGAUGACCUAGAGAUAUACUCCUAAAAGGAUUCCUAUCCCAUUAAAUUAACGGUUAUCCUUUUAUCAUAAAGGAGUUUUCUAAUUAAAAAUAAUUAGCUUGAAUCCCCUAUCUUUUAAUUGGUCUUAAUUAUAUGGAUCCCUUAGUAAUAACAAAUGCCAAAAAACGUGGAGACCUAAGUGGUCCACUAAAUUGUGAAAUAACAUUCUCCCACUUGGCCCAUUAGCCGAUUGUGUUGCAAUAUGUAUUUUCUUUUUAAAAAAUGUUAAUUUUUUUUAAAUACUCUGAGACUCCAUAAUUUUUAAAACUUUGACACGUGAUCACGAAUUUUCAUAAAAUCAGCCAAUAUGUUCCAACAAUUAAAUACUGUGGUACUUCAAAUCAGAUUACCAAUGUGAGUUCAUAGGCCUUUGUAUGGCUCCAAUGCCAUAUUCCCUUCUAAUGACUACCCAUUGAUAACCUUAUUAACCAUUGCAUAAAUAGAAAAAGUACAAUUAAUACUUUAGGAUACAUUCCCUAAAUAAGCCCCAAUAACUUUUGUCCUAGUCAAGACAAUUCCUGUUUCAUAAAAUCGCAACAUAAUAUUUGCCCACAUAAUGGAAACAGAAAAAACAGACACUUCUAAUAAUGCGCAAUUUAGUGUCGAGAUACAAUAACCACCAAAAUACUCAUCAUGGAUUGCUCAAAGACCCAUCCUAAACACCAUGUUCUUUAUAAGUCUUUGGUGGCAAUCCCUUCAUCAGCGGAUCAGCUAUCCUAAGAGUGGUGCUUCAUGUUCUCAUUGACACUUGUUGUUUUUGACCUCUUCUCUAACACCAAGUCUUAACUUCCAUAUGCUUGGAACCCUUAGAAGUACUUGCCCAUCUUAGAGAAGAAAACUGCUGGGCCUGGUUGUCCCAAUAUAUCAUCAUCGUCUUGGCAAUUGAGUCGAACCACAUCCACAUCCCUUCUUUUAUAUCAAUUCCUCAACCAUAAGCAUUACCUUUGUCCUCAAAGCAUGCCACAAACUCGGUCUCCACUUGGGGGGAUGCCAAUAAUAGUAUUGCUUCACCCUCUUCCACGAAAUUGCUCCACCAGCUAACACGAAAAACAAACCCUGAUGUUGAUUUUCUGCAUCCAAACACCAGCGAAAUCCGAAUUCGAGUAUCCUAUCACUUCCAAAUGAUCCUAUCUUCUAUAAGUAGCAUGUAGUCUUUGUCCUUGAAGGUAUCAUUAUAACCUUCUUUAUUGCUUUCCUAGUGUUCCAUUCCCUGGGUUCUUGAUAUCUACAAGCAUCCAACUGCAAAGCUAAUGUCCGGUCUGUAACAAGUUUAUGCAUACAUCAACUCCCUAAAAACUGAGGCACUCGGAUAUCCCUAUCUGCAUCCUUUCCAAUCAUUCCCUUGGGCACUGUUUUCAUUUAACCUUGUCACCCUUCAACAAUAUGGUGCACUCCACUGCUGAGCAACUUUGCAAUAUUAAAUCCCUCCAAAACCGAUCGAUAUAACCCUUCUAAGACAAUCCUACUAGCAAUCCUCGAGAUCGAUCUCUUAUGAUCCUCUAUGCCAAUCAAUAACAUCCCACCUACAUCGACCAUCUUAAAUUUUUUUUGGAAAGAUAUCCCUUGGUUUUCGUGUAACAAACCAAGAUCAUUCUUUCAAGCUAACAAAAUAUCAUCCAACAUAUAGCACCAAAAUAAUAAACUUACUCCCACUGAAUCUUCAGAUAAUACAACUUAUCAACAACAGCGUUUUUCUUAAAUCCGAAGGACAGGUAAUGGUAUCAUUAAACUUUAAGUACCAUUUCCCAGGAGCUUGUUUAAGGCCAUAAAUGGAUAUCUUUACUUUGCAAGCUAAAUGGCCAUUUUUUCUUUUCUUUCUUUGUCGAUCCUUUAGGUUGUUUCUUGUAAAUUUCGCUCAUCCAAACACCAUUUAGGAAAGCGGUUUUCACCAUCCAAUCUGAUGUAGCUCUAAUUCAUAAUGAUCUACAAGGGCCCAAUGAUUCAAGUGAGCAUUUUUAGAUACUUGAGAAAAUGUCUCUUUGUAGUCAAUGCCAUUCUUUCUGAGUGAAACCCUUAGCCACAAGUCUGGCCUUAAAUCGUUCUAUAUUGCCCUUUUUGCAUCACGCUUCUUGGUCUUAAAGACCCUUUCAUCUGAUUUUCUUGUGCAAUUAGACGGCAAUUCAAUGAGAUUCCAGACUCAUUCUGGUACAUAGAUUCAACUCAUCAUUCAUGUCAUCAACCCAUUUCAGUAGAAUCAUCACUCUAAUGGCGUGUGAAAACAAAUCGGAUCUUUCUUAAUCCCAAUAUCAAAAUCAAUUCUUGUAGAUCCCCACAUAAUCUACUCGGAGAUGGCAGAUCUUUUUCCCCUCUGAGAUCUUCUUUAAAACUGCCGGUUGUGGUGGUUCUACAUUAUUUUUCAAUGGCAUAUCCUCAAUGAAGUGGAGAAUCAUUUAUUUUCAGGUUGUCGUUCUCCUCAUACUGUUGGUUAUUCUGAGGAGUGACAACUUCCUCGACGAGGAAAAUUUUGGGAUGUCAUCUCUUCUUCAUCGCAAACUCCCUUUCUUGAUUUUCACUCCCACUAAUUUUGUCACUCUCUAAGAAUUCUGGCAUUUCGGGUUUCAUCAAACUAUUCUCUUACAGGGGUAGGACAAUAGAAUCUGUCCCCCUUUAGACUUUUCUGGAUAACCAAUGAAAUACCCAGAAAUUGGUUCUAGAAUCUAAUUUCUUUUUUCUUGUGAGUAUAGAUCUAGCCUCCGCUGGACAACCCCAAACAUGUUAAUGUCUCAAAUAGUCCUACCAGUCCACAACUCAAAGGAGUAGUUUGGACCGGCAUUACUAGGAACCCUGUUCAAGGAUAUAACUUGCUUUUAAUGCUUCACUCCACAAAAAUUGGGUGUACAUUUGUAGAACUCCAUCAUACUCUUAACCAGACCCAUAAUUGGUACGUUACUCUUUCAGCAACUCCAUUCUGCUUUGGCGUACCAGCAUUAUGUUUGAGCACGAAUCCUUGCUUUUCUAAUAGUUUGUCAAAUGGGCAGGAUUUUUGGCCUGACUCAUCAUAUUUACCUAAAAUACCACCUCUAAUCUGACUCACAUUUUUUACUUUUUUCUAUUUAAUUGUCUCUCGCCUCAUAAUGUAUACCUUCAAGAAUGUAACGCCUGAGAUUUUUCAUGAAUUAAAUACAAAUAUCCAUGAUCGUGAAUCAUCUAUAAAGGUGUAAAAUAAUUUUUUGUCCACUAAUACCUGGAGUGGGAAUUUUGCAAAUAUCAUUGUGAAUUAUUUCAAAAGCUCUCAAUUACUUCUUGUCGGCUCCUUUUCUUUAUUUGGUUUAGUUUCUUCCAUUUAAUGCAUCUACCAUAUUUCAAAAUCAGUAAAGUUUUAGGUUUUUUCCCAAAAUUCCAUUCUUUAACUAUCUUUCAUUCUACCCUAGAAUAUGUCCCAGCCGUUUAUAUGCCACAGAGGGUUGAUGAUUUUUCAUUAAUUUUACUACGUUUUUUGAUCCAACAUUCGAAUGCAGGGUUACCAAAGAUUGUGCAAACUCAUAUUUAGGCAAUUUUAUAUAAAUCAAUCAUCACAUAAAUCACCAAAACCAACAUUUCUUCUUUGAAUUAAAAUUUAAACUGAGUUUUCCACAACUAAAUAAAACUGAAUAUCCAUAACGAUCUAAUCUAGAUAAUAACCUAAAAUUUCUAGGAAAAUAGGGGAACAUAAAAAAGUUCUUCGAGAUCCUCUGAUGACCAGUCUCCAAAAUCAAACGGUAAAGUACCAACAACUACCACUGAGCUUUGAGACAGUUUCCAUAAGGGACGAAUUCUUCACUUUCCUCAGUUUCCGGGUGGUAAGGUAUCCCUGACAUGAAUUUGAAAUAUGAGUUGUGGGCUCCAGAAAUUCAAUCCACCAUGUAUUAGAAGGUACUUCAGCAAGAUUUGAUUCAUAACAUACAAAAGAAAGUUCAUUACCUUUCUUUUCGAACCAAGCCCUAUGCUUGUUGAGUCUUCUCACAUGUCCUUUAUGGCCACAAAAUGACACUGAUAGUGAAACCAUUAUUUUCAUGGGCCUGAUACUUCUCCAGGUCCAUUCGAGAUUUGGCAGAUUUUUCUUAGUCUUACCAAUUUUUCUGUCUUUUCAUUCUUCCUUGAGUUACAAAAGGGCAGGUGGCGUCCUUCCUCUCUAAUCUCAAUUCUUCUUGAACACACAUACUAGUUAGCUCAUCAAACUCCACUUGUCUUUAUUAGUAUUAAGUGAAUUUUGAAUGGGCUAAACUGUGAAGGAAGUGAGUGAGAAUAAAUGAACAAGGGAAAACGACUCAUCCAUUGCAUCCCAAAGGAGCAAGCUUGCAGAUUUAUCAGAAAUGUUCAGAAUGUGCUCUUGAACUUUCUCGGUACCAUCUAUUUUAUGUAGUCAAUCAGCCAUAAUAGUGCCAGCAAGUUGAUGUAUCGAGAUGUAAAACGCGUCCUCCACAGGCGUUAAAUAUCCAGGCAUUAGAGGUUUGUGGCAGGGAGAUUUGGAUAUUAUUCGCAAUGGUAACUUCAUGACAUCAAACUGAGCCUGUUUGACCGUUUCCCAUAAAUUUGCUGGCUAACUUGUUCUGCUGGUACUUUAUCUUAAUGUCCGCAGGCUUUCAAACAAGCAAAAAGUCAUGUCAAGGUUCAUUACACCAGUGUAACAUGAACAUGCUCAUAACAUUCGAAAAAUUCGAUCCAAAUAAGUACCGGACGUAGAUGCAUGAGAGCGUAAUGAAGUAGGAAACAAUACUGAAACAAAAAAAUAGACAAUGCUCAACGUUAAAGUUUUGAGAAAAUAAAUACCUUUUAUAUGAUGAAUUAUUGAUAUCACCUACAUCCUCCUUGGGUAAAACCAAGCAUAUCCGUGUUCACUCAUAAUAAGGUAAAAUGAAUAAUCAUGUAGGCCUAAAUAUUUGCUACAACUAUUAAAUUAAUCAUGCUACUUUGGAUAUCAAUCCUAACUAAUAAGUCGACCAAAUUAUUGCUCCUAACCAGUUCAUAAUAUUUAAAUGUGCCUCUCCUUUGGGCUAGUCUCAUUCUCUAAUCUGACUGCAAUGUAGAAUAUAUUAUCUUUAUAUUGCCCUUGUAACAAUUGUCUUUUUGUAGUUCGUUAUUCAGAAACUUUACUAACUUAGGUCAUUUUGGCAAAUAAUUAAGUUAUUACAUUGCCAUGAAUAUUGAACUAAUCAAUAAUAUUCUUUUUAAUUAACAUAAUUUUUUUUUAAUGGGAUAAACUGUAAUUUCUCAACUGGGUCAACUGUAAUUAUAUAGAAGUUGGGUUAAAACUGUAAUUUCUAGCAUCGGGAUAAAACUGUAUUUGCGAAUCUAGGUUAAUUAUAAUUUUUUUUUCGAACCUGGGUUAAAAGUGGAAUUCUAUUGCUGCUACAAUCUUCACAUCAUCAAAAAUGUAAUCGAUUAUAAAAAUGUCAGUAACUUUAUGCAUAACUUUAUAAAAAAAUUAUCAGUAUACGUUAUGCAUAAUGUCAGUAUUGGGGACGUACCUCAUUUACCAUAUAUCACGCAUAUAUACACAGUCUCGUACGAGGUAGUGCAUAAAUGUGCGGAAGGACCAUAAUGAUUAUCUUGCAGAAAAAUCAUAAACAACAGUCAAUUAUAUAAAAAGUCAAAAGCAAUAAUACAUUAUCUAUAUAUAUUAAAAGCAAUAAUAACAACAAGUCAUCGUUAUUGUUAUAUGAGACUAGCAACUGGUUCAUUCAUUAUAGUAAACACGCAUCUAUAAAGGGUGAUAUAUCUAUAUAUAUAUAUUAUAGAGACUUGCAACGAGGGUUUCAUUCAUAUAUAUAAAUCACUCAGCUAUAAAGUUG
rnacentral:lncRNA from 1 species